rnacentral:rRNA from 1 species
GAUGAACGCUGGCGGCGUGCCUAAUACAUGCAAGUCGAGCGAAUGGAUUAAGAGCUUGCUCUUAUGAAGUUAGCGGCGGACGGGAGUAACACGUGGGUAACCUGCCCAUAAGACUGGGAUAACUCCGGGAAACCGGGGCUAAUACCGGAUAACAUUUUGAACCGAAUGGUUCGAAAUUGAAAGGCGGCUUCGGCUGUCACUUAUGGAUGGAACCGCGUCGCAUUAGCUAGUUGGUGAGGUAACGGCUCAGAAAGGCAACGAUGCGUAGCCGACCUGAGAGGGUGAUCGGCCACACUGGGACUGAGACAAGGCCCAGACUCCUACGGGAGGCAGCAGUAGGGAAUCUUCCGCAAUGGACGAAAGUCUGACGGAGCAACGCCGCGUGAGUGAUGAAGGCUUUCGGGUCGUAAAACUCUGCUGUUAGGGAAGAACAAGUGCUAGUUGAAUAAGCUGGCACCUUGACGGUACCUAACCAGAAAGCCACGGCUAACUACGUGCCAGCCGCCGCAGUAA